UACGGAGGGGGCUAGCGUUGUUCGGAAUUACUGGGCGUAAAGCGCGCGUAGGCGGCUGUCCAAGUCGGGGGUGAAAGCCCGGGGCUCAACCCCGGAUGUGCCUUCGAGACUGGGCGGCUGGAACACGGGAGAGGUGGGUGGAAUUCCGAGUGUAGAGGUGAAAUUCGUAGAUAUUCGGAGGAACACCGGUGGCGAAGGCGGCUCACUGGACCGUUGUUGACGCUGAGGCGCGAAAGCGUGGGGAGCAAACAGG
rnacentral:rRNA from 1 species